rnacentral:sRNA from 1 species
GCCAGGCAUGGUGGUGCACACCUGUAAUCCCAGUGACUUGGGAGGCUGAGGCAGGAGGAUCACAAGCUCAAAGCCAACCUCAGAAACUUGGCAAUGCCCUAAGCAAUUGGGUGAGACCUUGUUUCAA